UACAGAGGGGGCAAGCGUUAUUCGGAAUUAUUGGGCGUAAAGGGCGCGUAGGCGGCUUGGCAAGUGGAUGGUGAAAUCCCUCGGCUUAACCGGGGUGGUGGCAUUGAUACUGCAGGGCUUGAGUACAGAUGAGGUAGGCGGAAUUGACGGUGUAGCGGUGAAAUGCAUAGAUAUCGUCAAGAACACCGAUAGCGAAGGCAGCUUACUGGGCUGUAACUGACGCUGAUGCACGAAAGUGUGGGGAUCAAACAGG
rnacentral:rRNA from 1 species